rnacentral:lncRNA from 10 species
CUGGGGCAUAACUGUACAUCUAUUCCUUACUGGCUAAGUGAGCCUGUAUAGAGCAGCUAAUGCAAGAGAUACACCAAGCUGAGCAACAAGAAAAGAUCUACUGAAAGUCUCCUUGGCUUUACCAAGAAAGUUGCCGUGGACCCUUAGGUCACAUAGCCUGACCAUGCUCAGAUGAACCAAUGGUGCAACCACAGGAGGAACCUAAGUGCUCAGCUGAGAAGCAGGGACUGAAUCAAGCAGCAGACACGAUGAUAAAGUUUGGAUGUUUGUCCCCUCAAAAUCUCAUGUUAAAAUAUGACCCCAAUGUUGAGAGUGGGGUCUAAUGAGGGAGUCCUCCCAAGAAUGGCUUAGUGCCCUCCAAGAGGAAAUGGCUGGUAAUAAGUUUACACGAGAUUCGGUUGUUAAAAAGAGCCUAGCACCCCCUCCCUUCUCCCCUGCUCCCUCUCUUGCCAUGUGACACACCUGCUUCCCCUUGCCUUCUACCAUGAGUAAAAGCUUCCUGAGAUCUCACCAGAAGCCAAGCAGAUGCUGGUGCCAUGCUUGUACAGCCUGCAGAACUGUGAGCCAAGUAAGCCUCUUUUCUUUAUAAAUUACCCAAUCUCAGGUUUUCAUUUAUAACAAUGAAAAACAAACUAAUAUACACUGAAUGACAGGAUCCAGUAUCCAAUCAGAUUGAGCUCUGGCAUCCAGUCCGAUCAUGCCUCCCAGCACCACCUCAUUGCAAGAUCCAAUCAGAUCACACCUCAUUACCCUAUGCUUAUAAAACCUGACACAGCCUCCAGCUCAGGGAUACACUGCUUUGGGAACUAUCCAUGGUAUUCUACUUGCUUGUUAAAAGUAAUAAAAUCCCUUUCAUUUAAUCUUCCUUGGUUAUGAUAAUUAAGUUGAUACCCAGUAAGUGACCAACCAAGCCAUCUGUUUCAUGGUAACAAUAUUACUUCCUUUUUUCCUUGCAAUGCUUUUACUCCAGCCAAUGUUUUUAUCACCUUUUCCUCUAAUCUAUCCAACAUAUCUCUGCCAGAGUUAUCAAAUUUAAAUAGGUCUUUUUUCA